rfam:Pteropus alecto contig162873, whole genome shotgun sequence.
GUCUGCAGCCAUGCCACCCUAAACACCCCCGAUCCCGUCUGAUCUCAGAAGCUAAGCAGGGUCAGGCCUGGGUAGUACUUGGAUGGGAGACCACCUAGGAAGACCAGGUGCUGUAGGCU